AACCCAAAUGAGUAGCUGAGGGAAUAUGUAGAUUAUAAUAACCAAUAAGGAUGAGUCUGCACCGGUGAGUUUCAUGUAACAACACACGUAAGUCUCAUUCAUAGCCUUCUUGUGGGGGAAGGAAGGAACCUCUUCAGCUGUACCUAAUGCAACAGAAUCAGUGUGCAGCCAUGCAAAAAGCAAGUCCCCCAAGUCAACAGAAGGAAACUCCGUAAGGUGAUAGGAAGAGCACACAUUUGAGCUCCAGUCA